UACAGAGACUGCAAGCGUUAUUCGGAUUCACUGGGCGUAAAGGGUGCGCAGGCGGUCGGGUGUGUCAGAUGUGAAAUCCCGAGGCUCAACCUCGGAGCUGCGUCUGAAACUACUCGACUAGAGUACUGGAGAGGGUAACGGAAUUCCCGGUGUAGCGGUGAAAUGCGCAGAUAUCGGGAGGAACACCGGUGGCGAAGGCGGUUCUCUGGGCCUGUACUGACGCUGAGGAGCGAAAGCGUGGGGAGCGAACAGG
rnacentral:rRNA from 1 species